GACAGCGUGCCAGAGUGGUUAAUGGGUAUGACUCGAACGAGUUCAUCAACUAGAUAUCAUAUGGCUUCGGCCGCGCAGGUUCGAAUCCUGCCGCUGUCG
rfam:Ascochyta rabiei strain ArDII scaffold_333, whole genome shotgun sequence.